ACUCACAUUGGAAAAACAAAAAAUUAAUGUAAAAGAAACAAACCGACAAAUAAUAUUAUAAAUAAAAUAAAUUUAUAAGACACAAUCCGCGCGAAGCGCGGAAAAAAUCUCUAGUAGUUUUUAAUAUCCGCCAACAUAAGUUUCGCCACAUAAAUUAAUAAGAUUCUUAAACCAAUUAAAAUAGUCGUACUAUACACAACAAAGAUAACAUCCCGCGUGAAGCGUACACCAACCACUAGUAUUUUACUAUAAAAUAAUUAAGUUUGAAGUGUUGGUUGAAAAUAAAAUUCAGAAAGUCUAGAUAACCAAUAAUAAUAUAACAUCUAUAUAUAUAAAUCAGGGUUUUCUCUCACCUCCUGCAGCCACGUCAGCAAGGAAGGAGGGGCUUUUUACGCCACGUGUCCUCAUUCUUUGUUUCGAACUUUCGAUGAUGCAAUCUAAUGGGCCAUACUUCUCUUAUUAAAGUGAGCCCAACAUAUUAUUGUGUUCUUAUAACUUUCUUUGAAGGCUGGUACAAUGAUUUUUUACCAUAAGCAAUAUUAUUUUUUUUAAAGGUUUUUUUUCUCUUCGUUAACAACGUAGCUGCGUUCUAUUACCGUGACUCUUGAGAUUUCAAAACCUCAGACCAAAGCCUCUGUAACGUCUUCAGAUUUUGCCUAUACAUUUAUCCAAGCAUUAACGUUGUUCCUACCACUCCUCCCAGCAUUAAGUCGGCCUUAUCAUCCACCAAGGUAGCCGUUCAAAACACCGAAAAGUGUUCUUCCCCUGCGAGGACAGGCGCACUGCAACGAAAUCUAAAGGUCAAUCACAAUCAAGCAACAGCUCUGUCAAUGGCGAAAUCUUACACUUUUUUUGCCGAUUCGAAUGCUGGUCGCUGCUCAAACACGGUGGAUUAAUACAAAGCUUACAACUCCGAAAUCUGUUUGUUUGUUCUGUUUAUUCUCUAAGUGGCUUUGAUGUUACAUUGAGCAAAAAAAACUUCCGACUCUCUGAUGCCCAUGUCUCCAUUCGAUUCAAAGAUGGUACGUCGCUAAUCACAGAUUCGAUAAAGUCAAUACAAACUGAAAUAUUUUGAUUCCCUGACUACGAUGGCAAAUACCAACAAACAGUUACCUGAUACUUGGUGAGCUUUUCGCAAUCAGGAGCACAACGUGUUAUGUCUACUUUGCGUAUAUAAAGGUACUCGCUACAUUUGGGAUUCCCAUGGCUGUCAUCUUUUACAACUAUGAAUGUUAUCGUCCUCUCCUCUCCAUGGCAGUUUUAUUGAAUCUUUACAGAGAUGUGAAUGUAGUAACUCUUUUUGACUGGUUCAUCUUUUGCAUUUCAUGUCAAAUUUGAAAGCUAUGGUUCUGAACCAAAAUUUAUGUUGGUCAUUAGCAUCAAUCCUAAGGUUGUUGGUGGUGAGUAAACUUAAUAUUCCUUUUCUCUCCUGCAGUUAGACAAAACCUCUCUCCCAUGCAGUUGAUGUAUUAAAUUUUACAAACAAAUGUAGCAUUCUCUUAACUAACUUCCCAUUAUGCAGGCCGUUUUUUAAAUACAACUUCUGAAACCCACAUCUAAUUUGUCUCAGACACAGCUGUCGGAAAAGAACACUGUGAAAAGUAAGUGACUAUAAAUCUAAUAUUAGACAAUCAGCACCGAUUGAACAUAAAUAUUUUGCCAUAUGAUUCAGUCUUAUGUUUUCUGUGUUGCCACGUUUAUUCUCUUAAAGUUAUUUAGGGAUGUCUCAAACCAAACUGGCUCUUCAUCAAAGCUACUUCAUGCCUAGAAAAUAGAACCUCUAAUCUGAGCUUAACCAAUGUGUUCUCACAUCUGAGCCACGGGUCAAAGUUACAUAAAUCAUAUUUUAUCCUUAAAUUGUUGUAGUCCUCUUACUGAUGACAGAUAAUUGAGAUUUUCUGCACCAUCAAAGUUACUGGUAUCCAGACAGAAUAAGAAUGGCGCUAUAUAGGUUGUUCAAAGAAACUUCAGAGAGAAAUUUCUUCUUUCACAUGCAUCGUAUGUGAUAAUACCAGCGCUGUAGGCGUUCUCAGGUAUCAAGUUGAGCUGUCUGUCUCAGGCCAGACGGAUGAAACAGUCCUUGUGGCUUUUGAUGUGGAGAUGACUAAGUUAACCAACAUUCAAGCUGCUGAAGCCGACCAUAUUUUGGGUGUAGGUGUCAAUGCUCAUGUGGACAACGAACUCCCAGAGUUUAUUGCUGAUAUUGUAGGGAGGUGACCAUGGUACUGUUGAUGAUAUGCCUAGAGAGAAUCCAGUAGCAUCUAAGGUCUUUGCUGGUGACAAGAAGACUGAUGUUGAGCCACCAUAUGAUGUGUCAGAUGAACUCGAAGUGAAUACAAAUGCCAAACAUCAACCAUCCUCAUCUGUUGUACCUGGAGGCGGGCGUCCGGCAUCAACCAAGCAGGUGGUUGGUCCAAAUGAGAAUGGAAAGAAGAAGGCACGCCUGGCAUAGCUCCACCUCGAAAACACAAAUCUCCACUACAUUUCUUCUGUUUUAAUGUCUUCCUUUUAUUUUCUUAUCGUGAAAAGCUUUUGCAACUCUUUAUCUAUGUUAUUUAAACUCAAUGUAGUGGUGGAUGUUUUGACUAUUAAAGAAAGUUAUUUACUAAAUAUGUCCUCUAAGUUUCUUAUCGCACAAAGCUUUACUGACUUUAUCUAUUCUAUAUUAACUUCAAUGUAGUGGUGGAUGUUUUGACUAUUAACAAAAGGUAUUUACUAAACAUGUCUUCUUUUAGUUGAAAUGAAAUAUCUAAGGCAAAUUAAUCCGUGAACAAAUCAUGACCUCCGCAUGACAAAUAUCGUGAAGAUGACAAGUUUGAAAUAACAAAACUAUUAAUCUAUAAUAACAAACGUACGUUAUCGAUUAGAUGAUCACAAUCUCAAAAACAACGACAGUCCAUAAAUACAUAAACAGAAAAUAUGAACUUCUUACUGAUAAGCUGUAAGACAUGUACAUGUCAGUUCUUACAUACCUUCUGUAAGGCUUAGGAAUUUAUGCCAAGAUCCCUGCGACAACAUAAUUUGUCCUUAAACCAAUUUUUUUACAUUCAAAUAAUAAAUAAUUCAGAUAUUACACUUUUAAAUCAGUCAUUAUUUUCAUAGAAUAUGUAAAACUACGUUCUAUCAAAUGAUAUAAGUAAAAUAUGCUUCAUAUAUUUUAGUCUUCAGCCAAAAAAUUCAGCUAACUGAAAUUGGAAUAUAUUAAAUUACACAUGUAUAUGUUGUUUGAAACUAUGUUCUGACAAAUGAAACAAAUAAAAGAUUCUUUAUAUUAGUCUCGAUUCUAAUGAAACUUUUGCUGAGAUUGUAGUAUUAGUACAUGUGAUUAAUAAUUUUACUUUGUUUAUACUGCAUUUCAUAUUCAUUGGCAUAAAACAAAUCCACUUUUAAAAUUUUGAAAGGAUAAUCGUGAAUUAAAUGAUAUGCCACAACUUAAUAUCUAUGUGUAUAUCCUUCUAAAAGUUAGGAAAAUGAAAUCCAAUUAUUAAAACUUUGUCAAAA